rnacentral:rRNA from 1 species
CCUACGGGAGGCAGCAGUGAGGAAUAUUGGUCAAUGGCCGAGAGGCUGAACCAGCCAAGUCGCGUGAGGGAUGACGGCCCUACGGGUUGUAAACCUCUUUUGUCGGGGAGCCAAGAGAGUCACGUGUGGCUCAUUGAGAGUACCCGAAGAAAAAGCAUCGGCUAACUCCGUGCCAGCAGCCGCGGUAAUACGGAGGAUGCGAGCGUUAUCCGGAUUUAUUGGGUUUAAAGGGUGCGCAGGCGGAGGUGCAAGUCAGUGGUCAAAUUGCGGGGCUCAACCCCGUACUGCCGUUGAUACUGCAGCCCUUGAGUGCGCGAGAAGUAUGCGGAAUGCGUGGUGGAGCGGUGAAAUGCAUAGAUAUCACGCAGAACUCCGAUUGCGAAGGCAGCAUACCGGCGCGCAACUGACGCUCAUGCACGAAAGCGUGGGUAUCGAACAGGAUUAGAUACCCCUGUAGUC